UCCUUGAGAAAUGUAUGUUAAAGAUUAGCUCACUGAGCAGAGCUUGCAGUGCUCAAUAUUAAAGAAUAAAAUUACAGACCUUUACCAAGUUGUGUACUCAUUUGCAAAUCAGCUGAGGAGCACUCUCAAGAAAGUAACAGAUGGAUUGUUUUAAAAAAAGAGAGACACUGAAAUUUUUGAUCAUGGGAAUUUUGUCAUGUUCAAUGAAAAGUAAUGUUCUGUCAAAUGAAAAUAAUGAGGUUCAUAAAUGGGAAUAUAUAAGACAAAAAUAUGAAUAGCCAAAAUACGUUUAAAAAAUCUAAACUAUUGAACAUAAAUUAAAUUGGUUAUCCCUGGGAAAAGAUACUGUAUAUUUUAAUGAUCUCUGUGUAUUUGGGAACUAUAGCAGUAAAUGCAAAGAUACAUCUUGCCUGUCUCUCCCGGUUUUAAGUUAAUUGACACAGAUAUUUCAAUAGUAGUAUUACUCGUUAAAAUUCUGCAAUACUUAUUACCUGGUAUCAUUUAAAAAGAUAUUUUCUCUAAGAUAAAAGAUACUAAUGAAGAUAGAAGACACCAAUCUGUUUCCAUCCUCCUUUUCUCUCUUGCAUUUUCCCUUCUGUGUAUUAGAAACAAUAACAAAGGCCUGCUUUUAUAGUCUUGACAAAUCGUUUCUUACCUGAAAGGAACUUGGGUUUUCUCUUUUUAAGCUAGCUCUUAGUCUGUAGCUUCUGAUAGCAAGUAAUCUCUUCAUUCUCUAGUAUCCUUUGCCAUGACUUAAAAAUGGAGACUAUAGCUUAAUUGAUUGAAUACUCUGACCUAGCAGUCCCAUGUUUGAGUGCAGGGAUGGUGUUGGGCAUUUUAUCCCCUGGUAGUGAUAUUCUAGAAUGCUUUAUGUUCCUACCCCCUAAAAAAUCCUCCAAAUCCUUCAUAUUCUCAAGUAGCACUUAUAACUUUAGCAUUAUUGCCUAACACAACAGUUCUACCAUUAAUCAUACUACAUGUUCAUCCUUCUAAAUGUCAUUAUCAAUUUAGGUAGCCUGUAAGAGUAUUGAAUUUAAGGAAAAGGGUGAAGGGAAGAUAAAACCAUUUAUAUAAAAGUGCUGGGUUUCAUUGCUUGUGGUAAAUAAUGUUUUAAUUUUUUGCCAAGUGAAAACAAAUCUUUAAAAGGAAAGGAAAACAAUUAUUUUAUGGAAAUAUUUUGUAAACAUGUAUGUAAAGACAUUGUUUUCUUUGCCACCAACAAAUUGUUAAUAAAAAAGUUUUUUUUUAGUUUCUUCUUGAAUGAGGUUCCUUUGUGUAUAGUAGGGCAAAUUAUUCAGGCCUUAAAAAAAAAAUCUUCAAUCUGAGUUUAUUUAAUCAGAUGUCAACAGAAAGGUUGCAGCUUCUUCCAUUUUGUUGUUAUUUUCAACCAAUGUCUUUUCCCUCUUUUUAAGAAAAAAGUCAUUGUUUUUUAAAUACUAUUUUUGGAUGAAUUAUGUCUGUAGAAUGGUUGACCAACAGCAUUUGCUAAACUAUUGAAAAACUAAUGAUUGGUUGGUCAUCUCUAUCUAUGAUGUACUUUCAUUCAUGAAAACCAAUGAGUUCUCAUGAUAAAUAACUCUUGGAAAUAGAAACUCUGCUUACUAACAUGUACUUGCUGAGGGUAAUAAUCCGGCAUUAUACAUACAGUAUGUGAGGGGAGGGGAAUUGCUUAUCCUAACAGUGUUUUCCCGCAUUCUCACACAUUGUACUCAUCAUUGUAAGUCUUUCUAGAGUAUUGUUCUUGAUUUUGGACCCCAACAUAAAGAGGAGAAAAAGUUCAAGGUAAGUGACAGACAUGAACAUCAAUUUGAGGAAAUUGGAUUUGGAGGAAAAGUUAAGUAAAAAACGUUGAAUCUAAAAGAGUUGACUGUAUCUUUAUAUUUGAGAAGGAACAUGCUCUAUGUGAUGGUGAAGAGCUGUUUUCUGUUUUAGUCAAUAGUUUUAGGCUGAGUGCGGUGGCUUACACCUGUAAUACCCACAGUUUAGGAGGCUGAGGUGGGAGGAUUGAUUGAGGCCAGGAGUUCGAGACCAGUCUGGAAAACAAAGACCCCAUCUCUACGAAAACAUAGAUAGAUAGAUAGAUAGAUAGAUAGAUAGAUAGAUAGAUAGAUAGAUAGAUAGAUAGAGAUAAAGAUAGAUGAUGGAGAUUAGAUAGUUUUAAACAGACAUUAAUGAGUCUGGACCUUGGAAAAAACUUAUGCAACUUUAGGAACAUAACAUCACACAGUCAUGGGAAAUUUUGGUGAAGAAAAGGGGAGAUGACCGUUCAUCCGGAAUUGUUUAGCUAAAUUCUUCCCCAGGAAACUCUUCAGAGAUUAUGUGAUCUUUACAAAUUUUUUUUAGCUCAAGGUAGGAUUGUAGAAUAUAUUAUUAAAGGUAACACCACAAGCCCUUUUGUGUGGUAUAUGUUGUGGGUGUGGGAGGAAAGCGAGAGAGAAUAUGUCCCAGAAUAAAAGUUUUAGAAUCAUUACCUUAAGUUCAAAUGUAUAAACAGAGUG
rnacentral:lncRNA from 1 species